CAAUCAAACCGGGAGAUAGCUGGUUCUCCCCGAAAGCUAUUUAGGUAGCGCCUCGUGAAUUCAUCUCCGGGGGUAGAGCACUGUUUCGGCUAGGGGGCCAUCCCGGCUUACCAACCCGAUGCAAACUGCGAAUACCGGAGAAUGUUAUCACGGGAGACACACGGCGGGUGCUAACGUCCGUCGUGAAGAGGGAAACAACCCAGACCGCCAGCUAAGGUCCCAAAGUCAUGGUUAAGUGGGAAACGAUGUGGGAAGGCCCAGACAGCCAGGAUGUUGGCUUAGAAGCAGCCAUCAUUUAAAGAAAGCGUAAUAGCUCACUGGUCGAGUCGGCCUGCGCGGAAGAUGUAACGGGGCUAAACCAUGCACCGAAGCUGCGGCAGCGAACGUAUCACCCAAGACAACUUUACGGAGUUGACGAUUGACGGAGCGAAGCGACGUCAAAGCGUUCAUUAAAGUCGAGUUGGCUUAGGGAUACGUUCGUUGGGUAGGGGAGCGUUCUGUAAGCCUGUGAAGGUGUGUCGUGAGGCAUGCUGGAGGUAUCAGAAGUGCGAAUGCUGACAUAAGUAACGAUAAAGCGGGUGAAAAGCCCGCUCGCCGGAAGACCAAGGGUUCCUGUCCAACGUUAAUCGGGGCAGGGUGAGUCGACCCCUAAGGCGAGGCCGAAAGGCGUAGUCGAUGGGAAACGGGUUAAUAUUCCCGUACUUGGUGUUACUGCGAAGGGGGGACGGAGAAGGCUAUGUUGGCCGGGCGACGGUUGUCCCGGUUUAAGCGUGUAGGUGUGUGUUCCAGGUAAAUCCGGUUCACUUUAACACUGAGGCGUGACGACGAGGCACUACGGUGCUGAAGCAACAAAUGCCCUGCUUCCAGGAAAAGCCUCUAAGCAUCAGGUAACAUCAAAUCGUACCCCAAACCGACACAGGUGGUCAGGUAGAGAAUACCAAGGCGCUUGAGAGAACUCGGGUGAAGGAACUAGGCAAAAUGGUGCCGUAACUUCGGGAGAAGGCACGCUGACACGUAGGUGAAGUGAUUUACUCAUGGAGCUGAAGUCAGUCGAAGAUACCAGCUGGCUGCAACUGUUUAUUAAAAACACAGCACUGUGCAAACACGAAAGUGGACGUAUACGGUGUGACGCCUGCCCGGUGCCGGAAGGUUAAUUGAUGGGGUCAGCGCAAGCGAAGCUCCUGAUCGAAGCCCCGGUAAACGGCGGCCGUAACUAUAACGGUCCUAAGGUAGCGAAAUUCCUUGUCGGGUAAGUUCCGACCUGCACGAAUGGCGUAAUGAUGGCCAGGCUGUCUCCACCCGAGACUCAGUGAAAUUGAACUCGCUGUGAAGAUGCAGUGUACCCGCGGCAAGACGGAAAGACCCCGUGAACCUUUACUAUAGCUUGACACUGAACAUUGAGCCUUGAUGUGUAGGAUAGGUGGGAGGCUUUGAAGUGUGGACGCCAGUCUGCAUGGAGCCGACCUUGAAAUACCACCCUUUAAUGUUUGAUGUUCUAACGUGGACCCGUAAUCCGGGUUGCGGACAGUGUCUGGUGGGUAGUUUGACUGGGGCGGUCUCCUCCUAAAGAGUAACGGAGGAGCACGAAGGUUGGCUAAUCCUGGUCGGACAUCAGGAGGUUAGUGCAAUGGCAUAAGCCAGCUUGACUGCGAGCGUGACGGCGCGAGCAGGUGCGAAAGCAGGUCAUAGUGAUCCGGUGGUUCUGAAUGGAAGGGCCAUCGCUCAACGGAUAAAAGGUACUCCGGGGAUAACAGGCUGAUACCGCCCAAGAGUUCAUAUCGACGGCGGUGUUUGGCACCUC
rnacentral:rRNA from 1 species